rnacentral:rRNA from 1 species
AGUGAACGCUGGCGGUAGGCCUAACACAUGCAAGUCGAACGGCAGCACAGGAGAGCUUGCUCUCUGGGUGGCGAGUGGCGGACGGGUGAGGAAUACAUCGGACUCUACUUUUUCGCGGGGGAGAACGUAGGGAAACUUACGCUAAUACCGCAUACGACCUACGGGUGCAUGUAGGGGAUCUUACGACCUUGCGCGAUUCAAUGAGCCGAUGUCGGAUGAGCUUGUUGGGGGGCUAAAGGCCGACCAAGGCGACGAUCCGUAGCUGGUCUGCGAGGAUGAUCAGCCACACUAGACCUGAGACACGGGCCAGACUCCUACGGGAGUCAGCAGUGGGGAAUAUUGGACAAUGGGCGCAAGCCUGAUCCAGCCAUACCGCGUGGGUGAAGAAGGCCAUCGGGUUGUAAAGCCCUUUUGUUGGGAAAGAAAUCCAGCUGGUUAAUACCCGGUUGGGAUGACGGUACCCAAAGAAUAAGCACCGGCUAACCUCGUGCCAGCCGCCGCGGUAA